GACCCGAUAGCUCAGCUGGUUAGAGCAACGGACUUUUAAUCCGUAGGUCCUGGGUUCGAUCCCCAGUCGGGUCA
rnacentral:tRNA from 1 species